AAGUUAAUAAACCACACAAAAAAGUUUUUCUCUCUUCGCUCUCUCGUAGUUUGUAAAGAUAGAAACUGAAAUUUCUUUUGUUUUUGUUAACCGGAUAGUUUUCCGGUGAGUCGCCGUCCCGUUUAAUUCGGGCUUUCGUCCGACAUCUUCUAGCUACGUUAGUGGAGAUGGUUGGCUUUUUGUAUGGCAUCGUUGGCUAACUUAGCGACGUUGGCCAGCUUCCGUACGGCAGCGUUGGGCUUACACUAACAGCGUUGGUCAUCUUUGUUUUUGUUUUGUUACUUCAAAGGUUUGAUGAUGAAGCUUUAUGGCAUGCAGAAUCGUCAGAUCUGAAGAGGGUUUCUCUUUACAAGAUCUAUUCUCCUUCUGUUUUGUUUAGCUUCACUAUUGGGUUAUGCUUUUGGCUCUGGUAGUUUUUCGGCGAUGUGUGCGUUUCCAGCAAUUACCCUCGUUUGGAUCUACCAUAUUUAAGACAGUUUCAAUUUUAUUUUCGCCUAAGAUUGGGUUAAAGCUUCUAUCCUAUGCAAAUUUGAUAUGCCUUUAGUGCUUUUGCAAGAGAGUUCGAAGAUUCAAUGGUUGGACAAGUUUGAACUACUCAAUUUUUUUAAUUUCUUUACCCGUUUUGAUGAAUUAUUUGUGAUUCUAGCAACCAUAUGAGAUUAGGAAAUUGAUGUUUGUUCUAUAACAUCUAAUUGCCAUAAUCGGUGAUAGAAAAAAAGAGUUUCAUUGCUCGGUGCUUUCCCGGCGAUGGUUCUCCGAUUCACCAGACUUGAGUCUCAUCCGGUGGAGGUUGUGGAAGAUUCACGUGUCCUUAGCUUAUUAUUAUUGGUCUGACACGUCUUAAGCUUAUCUCUUUUUUGUGACGUAAAAGUCUGUUGUGGACCUCAUAUGUAGACUGUCUUGAGCCUUUUAUGUUGUAACACUGAGCCUCAGUAUAUUAAAAAUAAAUCUUUCUCUG